AUCUGGUAUGAUAAUUUAUUCUUGGAAUAACUGUUACAUCAGAUAUGCUCUAUAUAUAUAUAUAUAUAAUAUUUCUCUCUGUCUGUCUGUUCCACAUAGGCUCCCAUAAUGUUUGGCCUAUCCAGAUCAAAUUUUAUAAGGUGACUUUCCAUCAUCCUGCAGAUAAUAUAGAUAUAAUCAAGAUCAAUCCAAGAGAUGGGGCACAUUGGGAUUGUGCUUUGUAUCUGUUUGCAUGGGUCCCACACCAUUUGACUUAUCAGGGCUAAAUUUGCAGGAUGACUUUUCAUGACUCUGCAAAUAACAUAGGAUACAAAAAUCAAAAUUUCCCCAAAGGCUGAGGCAUGUUUUGAUUGUUCUAUCUGUUUGUUUCAUUUACAUUUCCACACUAACCUAUUGGCACCAAACUUUGCAAGGUCACGCCCAUGUGACCUUGCAAAUUUUGGGUCAAGGUA
rnacentral:lncRNA from 1 species